GCAUAAUAAAAGUAAAAAGGUGUUUUGGAUGAUGGGGGAAGAUUAUUUUUUUUUUUUUUUUCUUCAUUUAUCCUUAAUCCUAAGGGAAGAUGAUAAUUACUUUUUUCUCAAUUUUUUUUUUGAGUAAAAAGAUAAACAAUUGUCCGCAUUCCCGGGGCGCUUGUUCUUGCUUUGCAAGUCUAUGCGCACCUAGAGCGUACACGAUAAUACCCGAAAGAUGGUGAACUAUGCCUGGCCAGGACGAAGCCAGGGGAAACCCUGGUGGAGGUCCGCAGCGAUUCUGACGUGCAAAUCGAUCGUCAGAGCUGGGUAUAGGGGCGAAAGACCAAUCGAACCAUCUAGUAGCUGGUUCCCUCUGAAGUUUCCCUCAGGAUAGCUUGCGCUCGGUUGAGACGAGUCUCAUCCGGUAGAGCGAAUGAUUAGAGGCAUUGGGGUCGAAACGACCUCAACCUAUUCUCAAACUCCAAAUAGAUGAGAACCCCGGCUUUCU
rnacentral:rRNA from 1 species